GCCUGCCGCGUGUGUGAAGAAGGCCUUUUGGUUGUAAAGCACUUUAAGCAGUGAAGAAGACUCUUCGGUUAAUACCCGGAGACGAUGACAUUAGCUGCAGAAUAAGCACCGGCUAACUCUGUGCCAGCAGCCGCGGUAAUACAGAGGGUGCAAGCGUUAAUCGGAAUUACUGGGCGUAAAGGGAGCGUAGGUGGCUCGAUAAGUCAGAUGUGAAAUCCCCGGGCUCAACCUGGGAACUGCAUCUGAUACUGUUGAGCUAGAGUAUGUGAGAGGAAGGUAGAAUUCCAGGUGUAGCGGUGAAAUGCGUAGAGAUCUGGAGGAAUACCGAUGGCGAAGGCAGCCUUCUGGCAUAAUACUGACACUGAGGCUCGAAAGCGUGGGUAGCAAACAGGAUUAGAUACCCUGGUAGUCCACGCCGUAAACGAUGUCUACUAGUCGUUGGGUCCCUUGAGGACUUAGUGACGCAGCUAACGCAAUAAGUAGACCGCCUGGGGAGUACGGCCGCAAGGUUAAAACUCAAAUGAAUUGACGGGGGCCCGCACAAGCGGUGGAGCAUGUGGUUUAAUUCGAUGCAACGCGAAGAACCUUACCUGGUCUUGACAUAUCUAGAAUCCUGCAGAGAUGCGGGAGUGCCUUCGGGAAUUAGAAUACAGGUGCUGCAUGGCUGUCGUCAGCUCGUGUCCGUGAGAUGUUGGGUUAAGUCCCGCAACGAGCGCAACCCUUGUCCUUAGUUACCAGCGGGUUAAGCCGGGAACUCUAAGGAUACUGCCAGUGACAAACUGGAGGAAGGCGGGACGACGUCAAGUCAUCAUGGCCCUUACGACCAGGGCUUCACACGUGCUACAAUGGUAGGUACAGAGGGCAGCUUCACAGCGAUGUG
rnacentral:rRNA from 1 species